rnacentral:rRNA from 1 species
UACAGAGGGUGCAAGCGUUGUUCGGAAUUAUUGGGCGUAAAGGGUGCGUAGGCGGUGCGGUAAGUCUGUAGUGAAAUCUCUGGGCUCAACUCAGAGUCUGCUAUAGAAACUGCCGUGCUCGAGUGUGGGAGAGGUGAGUGGAAUUCCCGGUGUAGCGGUGAAAUGCGUAGAUAUCGGAAGGAACGCCGGUGGCGAAAGCGACGGACUGGAUCUCUUCUGACGCUGAGGCGCGAAAGCCAGGGGAGCAAACGGG